GCUAAAUUUGAAGUUCAUAUUUUCAUAUUUGACACUGUUGACCUAAUCUUUUAAGCUACGUAAUUAAUUGUCUUAGCAGAUUGCUCUUAAAAUGUCUAGGAAGCAGGUGGCACUGACACUUGACAUGCUACACUAAGGUCAUAUUAGCAUCUUCUACUAGUUUUCUGCCAUUUAAAUGAGUGUUCUGCUUGCUGUUUUUUCUGCUGUUUAGAGUAAAUAUGUCUAUCUAGAGGAAUAAAUAUAUGUAAAAAUUGAAUAUGCAUGUUUUAUGUAACUGCAUUUCAUAUUUUUGCCAGCAAACUAUUAAAAGUAAGUUAAGUUUCAUUAGCAAGUAUGAGAAUUAUCCUAUGAAGUCCAUCAUGUGUGCUUUUCUUAGUAAUGUUUUUAGUAUACCAUUCAUACUGCUGGUGCUUCUGCAUUUACCUGUCUGUAAAUCACUUUUUAUUUGAAGUACUCAAAUCCACAUGGAUUUUUCUGGAGGUUAUAAGCCUUGGAUUUUUGCCACCUGUUCGGUGCUGUGCUUAUGGAGGAGCCUUGAACUGGCUGCCUCUGUUCCAGGUAACCUAUGAAAGAGUAAAAUUCAUGGUUCUGCUGCUUCUUGAGAAUUUUUUUUUUUUUUUUUUUUUGGCAGAACAGCUUCAAAAUCAGAAGCAAAAUUGUAGGGGAAGCCAAGUAGUGUUUCUGCAGUUGUGUUGGACCAGUUGUUGUACAAGUGACAAACCUGGGAUGAUUCCAUUUUGAGGUCUCCUGCAAUGAACCAGUUGAAAGCAGAGGGAGAAUGCAAAUCACUAUCUAUGAACUACUUGAGCAUUAAGUAUGAAAUAGUACUGAAAAUUCUAGACUUCAGACAGCUAGCCCAAUGUGAAGAACUGUCUGGUUACUUAGUGCAUACAAAAUUUCACAUCCAGGAGCAUGAAGAAAGAUCUCUUGCUGCUUCACGCGCAACUUGUAGGCUCUGCCUCUCAGCCAAGCUCUUGAAAUCAAGAUUAAGUCUAUAGCUGUUACGGUGAAUCUCUGUAUGCAAUUCCCAGUGUUGAACAAGGGGAAGAAAGCUUUGUCUGGUCUUGCAAUGUGAAGCUUAAUAUGAAUGGGGUUUUGUGAUGUGACUGAAGCUUCACGGGAAAAUGCAAAGCAUUGGGCUGCAAACUUUUACUAGCAUUUGCUGGGGAGGAGUUUAGUUGUUAAUGGCAUUGGGCAGCAGAUGGUCUUAAAGGAGUUGCUAAGACUGCGGAUCUUACUGUAAAUAUGUGGGUGAAUGGAACCAGGAUGCUGACAGUUCAUUCUCACAGCUCAUCAUGCGAAGGUGACUCGAGUGGAAUUCAGAAUUGCCAGAACUUGAAUUUCUUGGUAUUUGGCAGUCUGCUGUAAGUCUGUGAAGAACUCUGCAACUUAGCAGUGUGUUGAUAGUAAGGAUGUUUAGUCGUGCAAGGCUGAGAUGAAAGAACAUGAUGCCUCAUCAACUUUUCUUGAGUGUUGCUCAUCUCUUGACAUGACAGUACUGAAUCUGUGUAGUUUAGUUAUGAGAGCAACACUGGAGUUAAUUUCAGUCUUCUGCUUCUUAGAAUCCAUAGAGCAUUCCUUCAUAUACAGAAUGAAUCUAAAUUGUUGAAUCAGAAAAUAAGCCAUGGCAGAAAAAAGGCCCUUUCUCCCCUGCCACGAAUCUCAAGCAACCUUUCUGUUUUCCCUCUCACAAUUUUCCUUCUCACAAAAUACUUCUACCCCCUACCCAAUUAAUAUGUGUGUGUGUGUGUGUGUGUGUUGAUAAGGGCUUUAUUUUUGAUUUAAAAGGCUGGCACAAAGUAUUUCAUCCAAAUCCUUUGCUAAAAUGAUAGUCUUUUCCAUAACCUGCUUAGCUAGGCAGUUUUUAGUAUAGCUUGAAGGAAAUAAUAAGAGGAAGUGUAAUAUAGUAGUAUCCUAAGAGUGAUUCACAACAGUAUGUGGGAAUUGUACAGAUAUAUUGGAUACCUAGCAGCCACUGGGCAAGGGUACAGCUGCUCUUGUUCACGAGGGACACUUACUCACACCCAUACCCUGACAAAAGGAAACCAAAUUAAAAAUCUCUGAUAAACUAGCCACUGGAUGUUAAGUUUUCCCCCGUGUUUGCAAGUGGGAUGAGUGGAUAUAAUUUGAAACUCUUCAGUGUGUAACCCACUUAAACAGGUUCCUCCAGAACAAGUGCAGACUGCAAGAGCAAAUCUUGGGAAGCCAUUUUCUUCCUGUCUCAGUAUCUAGGUAUUGUCUUUUCACAGGUAGUUUCAUGUGGGGUUUUACUGGUUAAAUGAAGACUUCUAUUUUUGAGGGCUGUUCACCUUCUUCUUUGAAAUGAUUCCUCCUCUGCAGAAUCUCAUAGCCCAAGUCAGAAAUGAGAGGCAAGCUCAAAUUAUUUAUAAGGGGGAAACAAGCUAUUUUGAACAGGUAUUUGAAGAGGCAAAUCUACUAACUCAGCAUCAUUGGUUCGAGGUAAUCCGUAACUCUGCCAGGCCACUGGGAGGGUACUUGUCCCUGUGUUUAUAACGAUAGUACUGAUCUUGAUGCCAAGCAUGCUUUUGGUUGACUUUUGAGAUCAUUUUUCUAGUGUUUUGUGAUGGUUUUUAGCCUGAAUAGUUGAAAUGUAGAACUGACUUGCCCCAGUGAAGUUAGGUUUGGUAAGGCUUGUCUGCUGAACUUGAAGUGGUUU